AAGUCGUAACAAGGUAUCCGUAGGUGAACCUGCGGAUGGAUCAUUACUAAAGUAUCCAUCCUACGUUUUGUGAACUGUUUUGACUAUCAUAGUCAGUGUUUGGUGUGCUGUUAUGGCCAUCGAUGCUGACUACACUGAAUAUAUAUUUAAAUUGAACUGAGAGUACUAUACUUUUAGUAACCAAUGAGAACUUUUAGCAAAAAAUCUCUUCGCUUUC
rnacentral:misc_RNA from 1 species